rnacentral:misc_RNA from 1 species
UUUGCUAUUGUGUUUUUUACUCUGACGGCACUUAUUGAGCAGAUUUUAAUGGGCCUCUGGCGGGCGCUCACCGGCCCGAAAGCCGGCGCGGGGCGAGCCCCAGGGCCCGCCAAAGCAACAAAGUAGGUACGCAAUGGGUGAAGAGUUGGGGGCCGAAGCCCCCGGGAGCGCGAGGCCCCUCUCUCGGUAAUGAUCCUUCCGCAGGUUCACCUACGGAAA